rnacentral:lncRNA from 1 species
CAACCCAGGCGGUCUGGCUCUCCAGCCUGGACGUUUAACCACAAAGCUGCGGCUGCCUCACUUAGCCAAACAUUGGGAAUGUCUCUUAUCCAGUGGCUAAACAUUCAAGUGAUUUAUACUUAGUGAUACGUAAGUUGGUUACCAAGGUUGCAUUACAGAAUCAAGGACUCAGAGUGAGAAGGAACUCUAGAAGCAUGUGCGGUACGAACGUGGUCUUCAGCUCUGCAGAGCUGACAUGGUUAACUUAGAAAUUCACGUGUGAUGUCCAAGCUUGGAUGCUUGCUUUGGAAAUAUGGCAUAUUUGUGGGCUCUUGGCAUCUAUGAUUUUUCUUCCAAAGCUCCUUGGUGACCAAAUUCAUGGCUUCCUCUCCUUGAGUCAAUUUCUAAACAAGGUCCAGGCUCUCAGACCCCUGCUAGGAUGAAUCAUAGAAAGAUCAAUAUGGUAUAAAAAAUUCCUGACUAAUCUCACGGACACACACACAGAACAGUUCACCAGCCAGCACAGUUGUUACACAUGUCCUGGCUGCUUCCUGAAGAUGGAAGCAGAGGUUGGAGUGAUGUGGCCUCAAGCCAAUGCAUGCUGGCAGCCACCAGAAGCUGGAAGAGACAAGGAACGGAUUUUGCCCUAGAGUUUCUGGAGGAGGUGUGGACCUGCCUACCACCUGGAUCUCAGAUUUCUAGUCUCUAGAACUGCAAGAGAAUGAAGUUCUGCAGUAGCCCUAGGCAACUAGUACAUGCACAAACCAACAGGGCCUACAGUGACACUCCAUUAGCAAAAAGCACACCUAGUGCUCAGGAACCAAGGCUCCUCGGGGAAAUGGCUGAUUCCAGGGCUUGAAGAGGAAGAAUACCAAAUGAAUCUGGACUGUCUUGUGCCAGAAAGAGGUGAAACUUACUUCUCCUCCCCUUGAAUGUGGGCUGGACUUAAGGACUCACUUCUAAUAAAUAGUGAAUGGAAAGAGAAAAUGAUAACUUUACAGUGGAGAAAGCUGGCAGACGCCAGCAUAAUCAGAAGAUCAAGGUUAACAUCACCAGUGAUGAGUCAUGUUGAUGGCAUGCAUGCCCUGAGAUGACGCAGUGAGAAAGGGGCUUUACUUUAGUGACGUUCUUCUCAAAGACCCAUAACCUCAGUCUAAAAAUGAGAAACAUCAGGCAAAUUCAAACCGAGGGACAUUUACAAAAUACCUGAAUGUGAAAGCCACGUGAGACGGCGGUAGGAAGCAGUGAUUCUCAGUUCUGAGGGGGAAUCAAGAUGACCAGUUCCCCAGCGGUGCCCCUGUACUGUGAAGGAUGAAGAGCUGCUGACUCAGGUCAGCGCGGGACAUCAGCCUCGUGGG